rnacentral:rRNA from 1 species
GACGAACGCUGGCGGGGUGCUUAACACAUGCAAGUCGAACGAUGAAGCCUUAGCUUGCUUUGGUGGAUUAGUGGCGAACGGGUGAGUAACACGUGAGCAACGUGCCCAGGACUCUGGAAUAACCGCGGGAAACCGUGGCUAAUACCGGAUAGGUGCCGAGGCCGCAUGGUCUUCGGUUGGAAAGUUUUUGCGGUUCUGGAUCGGCUCACGGCCUAUCAGCUUGUUGGUGGGGUAAUGGCCUACCAAGGCGACGACGGGUAGCCGGCCUGAGAGGGUGACCGGCCACACUGGGACUGAGACACGGCCCAGACUCCUACGGGAGGCAGCAGUGGGGAAUAUUGCACAAUGGGCGCAAGCCUGAUGCAGCAACGCCGCGUGGGGGAUGACGGCCUUCGGGUUGUAAACCUCUUUUAGUAGGGAAGAAGCGCAAGUGACGGUACCUGCAGAAAAAGCACCGGCUAACUACGUG